AACAGGUCCAUACUAGCUACACUUAUUUCUAAGAAGCACUUUCCAUCAGCCAGAAGAUAGAAAUGAGGUGUGGGGAGGUAAAAAGGAAGUGACCUGUCCCACAGUGAAUCUGCAGAAGAGCCAGUGAAGACCAGGUGGAUGAAAAUGAGGCUGGGGCCAUGCCCAUGGGGAGAUGUUGGACGAUGCUUGAGUGCAAGAUGGCAGCAGGCCGGGAGAGGCCCAGAAGAGAACUCACCAUGCCGUGGGUUCCUUAAUGACAUGGGGUGAUGUGAAGAUAGCUUGUGUUUCAAGCAAAGUUCUUCAUC
rnacentral:lncRNA from 1 species